rnacentral:rRNA from 2 species
UACGUAGGGUGCGAGCGUUGUCCGGAAUUACUGGGCGUAAAGAGCUCGUAGGUGGUUUGUCGCGUCGUCUGUGAAAUUCCGGGGCUUAACUUCGGGCGUGCAGGCGAUACGGGCAUAACUUGAGUGCUGUAGGGGAGACUGGAAUUCCUGGUGUAGCGGUGAAAUGCGCAGAUAUCAGGAGGAACACCGAUGGCGAAGGCAGGUCUCUGGGCAGUUACUGACGCUGAGGAGCGAAAGCAUGGGUAGCAAA